GCCUCCGUGGCGCAAUCGGCUAGCGCGUUCGGCUGUUAACCGAAAGGUUGGUGGUUCGAGCCCACCCGGGGCGGUU
rnacentral:tRNA from 1 species